ACUCUAAUAAUUCUAUAAAAGUUUAGAUUUGUUUAGUGGAAGUCGAUCAAUUUACACUCAUCUUAAAAUUAUGUCAGUUAUUUUUUGAAACCUUUAUGAGAACUAAUUAUACCCCCACCCCACACACACACGCACAUAUAUAUAGCCCAGGACUUCUAGAAGGCAAUUGACCGAAGGAUCCUUCCGCUGGAAGUCAAAGGUGAUUCAUCAAUCGUAUCAACCGAACAGGGAACCACUAGGCGAUGACCGAGCAACAGAUGACAAGCUUCAACAACGCGGUUCCGUAACCGAAGCUUGCUGCCUGUUUGAAGUCGGCGCCCUACUGCCGUGUAUUUCCAACCAAACUUGGUAAUUAGAUUCGAGUUAACGAGUAUCCAAUUGCUUUACCUUGUGAAGAAAACCAUUCAAAUACUUGUCCAAGAAGCAUGCAUGUCAGAUCCAGAUAAGCUACGGGAUAAAUUAUUUGACUAGCAGGGGACGUGGUUAGAGAAACUAUAAAUAUGGAACUGGAUCUUGAUGGAUUCGUAUAGCAAGUACCUGAGUUUUAAGCAUGAAGAGCCUCCUCGAGAAGAAGGAUUGCGAUCCCACCCCUCUCCCGGUCGUCUCCCUCAACCACGUCUCCUUCUUGUGCUCAUCCCUCCACGAGUCUGUCAGAUUCUACGAGGAAGUGCUUGGGUUCCAG
rnacentral:lncRNA from 1 species